AUGCUGGGCCCUUUUUUCUUUUUAUUAUCCAGAGAUGCGAACGCCUCCACUCAAACCAGGACUAACCCCUCUGCCGUCUCCUUGGUUUCAGGUGAGGAGGAGGAGGAGGAGGAAGUGGUCGCCGAGGAAGAAGUCGCCGAGGAAGAAGCCGUCGAGGUAGAAGCCGUCGAGGUAGAAGCUGAGGCUGCUGCGGAGGUGGAGGCACCUGUAGACGUGGUGGAGGAGGAGGCUCCUGGAGAAGACGCUGUGGUGGAGGCUCCCGUGGCCGAGGUGGUCGCCGAAGUCGCCGAGGUGGUCGUCGAGGCCGCCGAGGUGGUGGUCGAGGCCGCAGAGGCGGUGGUCGAGGCCGCACAGGAGGUGGCGGCGGUGGCAGAGGAGGUGGCGCAGGUGGCCGAAGCCGUGGAGGAGGCGGCCCAGGCGCUGACGGAGCCGGCGGCGGCCGAGACGGAGAACAACGUGCUGGCAGCUGCCUCUACGACUGAGGCACUAAGGGUGGCUGAGGUAAUCGACGCAACCCUACCUGUGGAAGAGCCUGUCUCUGUUAAAGCUGCGCCAGUGGAAGUGGAGGCCCCGGCGCCAGUGGAAGAGGCCCCGGCCCCAGUGGAAGUGGAGGCCCCAGUGGAAGUGGAGGCCCCUGCGGAAGUGGAAGUGGCAGUGGAAGUGGAGGCCCCUGUGCCAGUGGAAGUUGAGGCCCCAGUGGAAGUGGAGGCCCCAGUGGAAGUGGAGGCCCCAGUGGAAGUGGAGGCCCCAGUGGAAGUCGAGGCCCCAGUGGAAGUGGAGGCCCCUGCGCCUGUGGAAGUUGAGGCCCUAGUGGAAGUUGAGGCCCCUGCGCCAGUGGAAGUGGAGGCCCCAGUGGAAGUGGAGGCCCCAGCGCCUGCUGAAGCUGCGCCAGUGGAAGAGGCCGCACCGUCUUCAGAAGUCAUCGCUGCUGAAGCUGCGUCAGGGGAGGCCGAGGCCUCAGUGGAAGACGGUACCCCAGAAGCGUCUUGUCCGGUGUCCCAGGCCCAGGCCGACGAGCCCCAGAGGGAGUACAUCGUCGUCGUACUGGAGGGAGCGCCCAAGAGCGAGAAAAACCCCAAAGUACUCGGUGUGGGGCCGGCGACUGGAAGACUCAUCCCGGCGCCAGACGACGACGCUCCCUCUGAGAGCCAAGAGAGAGUGCUUCUAAGGAUGCAAAUGCAGUAGAUCUUGCGAGAGUAAAUUAAUCAACAAAGACUCCCUCCGUGCAGAAUGACCGAAAGGAUGUGCCUUUUUCAAUCCUAUGUUCUUACCUCCAAUAACAGUGUCUGCAAUAAAAAUAUAAAGUUUUUUUUUUUUUUAAACUCAAAGAAACUGCUCAAGCAACUUUAUCAAAAUGUAUUGUGCAACAAUGAGCCAUCGAAAUGACUAUUAACCUCACGGCACUUUAACAAUUAUUCAUGUAGCUGCAUGCCAACCAAUACUGAAGCCCUACAUUACUGUGCUCAUGGAAAACGUUCCAUGUUUCACACAAUGGAUAAACAGUUUUGGGCCUUGGUACUUUCACUCCACUUGUGAUACUCAACAGAAGGGAUAAAUGGGAGAAAUAGUCCCUCAACGAAAAUCAUGUUUUUCUUUAAAGAUUGUUUUUUUAAAUCCCAGUAGUUAAUUCACUUUUAUGAUGUGGUACAUAUAUUCAAUGAAAUGGUCUGUAAAGGGAAGGUGCCCGUGUUUCUGAAUGUUGAUGGACAUUACUGACAUUAGGCACUUCUACACACAGCGAUGGAAGACUUGGGUAGACAUGGGUUGACCAGGAUAUACAUGCAGACCUUGUUAUUGGCAAAUAUUUGUUAUUGUCUUGAGGAAGGAAUCAAUGCAGUUUAUGGUUAUUAAGAGAGGUAAAUUGGAUGCUGGUAAGCCAAUUAAUGUUUGAAUUGGAGAUGAUGUUAUGAAAUAGUGACUUUAUAAGGUGUUUGUGUUUAGUGUCAAACAAUGCAAUAGGUGCUUGAGGAGUAGAGUUCUUGCUAUGUUACAUUCGACAGCUAACUAAAUAUGGUAUUGAUCUGAAAAUGUCUGUUUCAAAUAUGUUUUUUCAGCUAUCUUUUCCUUCCGAUUACUCCAUUUGCUUGUGUUUGCUUAUACUUAAAAACACAGAUCAGGAAGCGUGAAGAUGAGGAACAGGAGCAUAUUGAAUAAUGGCUAUUCUGCACAUUUUUUCUUCUGUUAUGGUUUACAGAGGUGAUCAUCCUGAAAGCUUUUGUGUAGGUUUAAAUGUGAAUGUGAAUAAAAAGGUAAAACGAAUAUAAUGGUAUGUUUUUUUACAGAACAAUUGUACAAAUAAUUAUUGUACAAGAAUACAAAUCUUCUUGGGCUACAUAGUGUUAAGCCAUAUUAAAAUUAUAUAAAAUUGUAUUCGGUCAUUUGCUCGCUCAAUAACACAUUUUAAAUAGAAAGGUACAUGCGCGGGGGUUUGUUGUUACUGGAACCCUUCGUUGCGUCAUCACGUCAUGUGUCAUUCCAGCGGGCAGCAGGAGGUCCUACGGCUCAGAGCUUACGUCAUGACGUCAUCGCGUCAUGCGUCAUCCCAGGGCAGGAGGUCCUACGGCUCAGAGCUGGCGCGCCGGAAAGCAACGAAACAAGGAUUAAUCCAAAUACUAUUGAUGGAACUAAAAUUUGAUUUUCUUUGGGUAUUUUAUGUAUUCAUUGUUGAAGAUACAUUUUCAAUGUAGUUUUUAGUGAUUGCAUCUUGACAUCACUUGUUUAUUCCAACACAAGGAAGCGCUCGGCCCUGCUAACUCUAUUAGCUAACAUUAGCUCCAGGAGACUGGUAGCUAACAUUAGCUCCAGGAGGGCCCGCUACGCGGCUGAAGGAAACAGUUUAUCUUGAAGAAGCUCAAAAG
ensembl:lncRNA